rnacentral:rRNA from 1 species
AUUGAACGCUGGCGGCAGGCUUAACACAUGCAAGUCGAACGAAGUGGCGAACGGGUGAGUAACGCGUAAUCAACCUGCCCUUCAGAGGGGGACAACAGUUGGAAACGAAUGCUAAUACCGCAUACUGAAGGAGGGGAUUGCGUUAGAUUAGCUAGUUGGAGGGGGAACGGCCUACCAAGGCGAUGAUCAGUAGACGGUCGUAGAGGAGGAACGGCCAAAUGUGGAAGGAGACAAGGCCCAGAAUCCUACGGGAGGCAGCAGUGGGGAAUCUUCCGAAAUGGACGAAAGGCUGACGGAGCAACGCCGCGUGAGUGAUGACGGCCUUCGGGUUGUAAAGCUCCUUUAAUCGGGACGCGGUACCGGAAUAGAAAGCCACGGCUAACUACGUGCCAGCAGCCGCGGUAAUUC